UAAGUAGAAUAAAUAAUCGCGGCCGCAUUUCUAAAGAAUGCGGGUGAGGAAAGUCCGGGCUUCACAGGGCAGGAUGCCGGAUAACGUCCGGUGGAGGCGACUCCAAGGCUAGUGCAACAGAAAUAAACCGCCGCAGUUCGACCCAUGCCGUUUUGUGGGAAGAAUCCCAAAGGGAUUCUUCCACAGUUCGGCUCAUGCCGAACUGUUGGUAAGGGUGGAAAGGCAGUGUAAGAGACUACCGUCCGUCUGGUAACAGGCGGAGCCAUGUAAACCCCAUCCGAAGCAAGACCAAAUAGAAAGCGACAGGCUUGCCCGGCCUGCUUUCAGGUAGGUCGCUUGAAAUUACCGGUAACGGUAAUUCUAGAUAGAUGAUUAUUCAUGACAUAACCCGGCUUAUCGUUCUGCUUAAUAU
rnacentral:RNase_P_RNA from 1 species